GACGAACGCUGGCGGCGUGCUUAACACAUGCAAGUCGAACGGAAAGGCCCUGCUUUUGUGGGGUGCUCGAGUUGCGAACGGGUGAGUAACACUUGAGUUACCUGCCCUUGACUUUGGGAUAACUUCAGGAAACUGGGUCUAAUACCGCCUAGGAGCUCCUGCUUCUUGGUGGGGGUUGGUUAGUUUCGGCGGUUGGGGAUGGACUCGCGGCGUAUCAGCUUGUUGGUGGGGUAGUGUCUUACCAAGGCUUUGACGGGUAGCCGGCCUGAGAGGGUGACCGGACAAAUUGGGACUGAGAUACGACCCAGACUCGUACGGGAGGCAGCAGAGGGGAAUAUUGCACAAUGGGCGGAAGCAUGAUGCAGCAAAGCAGCGUGCGGGAUGAGGGCCAUCGGGUUGGGUACCGAUGUCGCCUGUGACGAAGCGAGAGUGACGGUAAUGGGUAAAGAAGCACCGGCUAACUACGUG
rnacentral:rRNA from 1 species